rnacentral:rRNA from 1 species
AACGUAGGAGCCAAGCGUUAUCCGAAUUCACUGGGCGUAAAGCGCGUGCAGGCGGCUUGGUAAGUUGGAUGUGAAAUCUCCUGGCUCAACUGGGAGAGGCCGUUCAAUACUGUCAGGCUAGAGGGCGACAGAGGAAAGUGGAAUUCCCGGUGUAGUGGUGAAAUGCGUAGAUAUCGGGAGGAACACCAGUGGCGAAGGCGACUUUCUGGGUCGCACCUGACGCUCAGACGCGAAAGCUAGGGGAGCAAACGGG